CAUGGCGAGUUUGAUCCUGGCUCAGAGCGAACGCUGGCGGCGUACUUAACACAUGCAAGUCGAACGGGGAUCGUCGGGUUAGCAAUAAUUCGGCGGUCCUAGUGGCGUACGGGUGAGUAACACGUGGGCAACCUGCCCUAGAGUUCGGGAUACCCUCUCGAAAGGGAGGCUAAUACCGGAUACGUUCCCCGGGUCGCAGGAUCCGGGGAGGAAAGGUAGCGCAAGCUGCCGCUCUUGGAGGGGCUCGCGGCCUAUCAGCUAGUUGGUGAGGUCACGGCUCACCAAGGCUAUGACGGGUAGCUGGUCUGAGAGGACGACCAGCCACACGGGAACUGAGACACGGUCCCGACUCCUACGGGAGGCAGCAGUGGGGAAUUUUCCGCAAUGGGCGAAAGCCUGACGGAGUGACGCCGCGUGGGGGA
rnacentral:rRNA from 1 species